rnacentral:rRNA from 1 species
GACGAACGCUGGCGGCGUGCCUAAUACAUGCAAGUCGAACGCUUCUUUCCUCCCGAGUGCUUGCACUCAAUUGGAAAGAGGAGUGGCGGACGGGUGAGUAACACGUGGGUAACCUACCCAUCAGAGGGGAAAAAACCUGGAAAACGGUGCCUAUUCCGCCUAACAGUUUUAUCCGCAUGGCAUAAGAGUUAAAGGCGCCUUUGGGGGGCGGUGAUGGGAUGGACCGCGGUGCAUUAGCUAGUUGGUGAGGUAACGGCUCACCAAGGCCACGAUGCAUAGCCGACCUGAGAGGGUGAUCGGCCACACUGGGACUGAGACACGGCCCAGACUCCUACGGGAGGCAGCAGUAGGGAAUCUUCGGCAAUGGACGAAAGUCUGACCGAGCAACGCCGCGUGAGUGAAGAAGGUUUUCGGAUCGUAAAACUCUGUUGUUAGAGAAGAACAAGGACGUUAGUAACUGAACGUCCCCUGACGGUAUCUAACCAGAAAGCCACGGCUAACUACGUG